rnacentral:rRNA from 1 species
GACGAACGCUGGCGGCGUGCUUAACACAUGCAAGUCGAACGAAGUGGCGAACGGGUGAGUAACGCGUAAUCAACCUGCCCUUCAGAGGGGGACAACAGUUGGAAACGACUGCUAAUACCGCAUACUGCAGGAGGGGAUUGCGUCUGAUUAGCUAGUUGGAUGGGUAACGGCCCACCAAGGCGAUGAUCAGUAGCCGGUCUGGUGGGGUGAACGGCCACAUUGGGACUGAGAAACGGCCCAGACUCCUACGGGAGGCAGCAGUGGGGAAUCGUCCGCAAUUGACGAAAGUCUGACGGAGCAACGCCGCGGGAGUGAUGGCGGCCUUCGGGUUGGAAAGCUCUUUUAAUCGGGACGCGGUACCGGAAUAGAAAGCCACGGCUAACUACGUGCCAGCAGCCGCGGUAAUUC